rnacentral:rRNA from 1 species
AUUGAACACUGGCGGCAGGCCUAACACAUGCAAGUCGAGCGGAUGAAGGGAGCUUGCUCCUGGCUUCAGCGGCGGACGGGUGAGUAAUGCCUAGGAAUCUGCCUGGUCGUGGGGGAUAACGUCCGGAAACGGGCGCUAAUACCGCAUACGUCCAGCGGGAGAAAGUGGGGGAUCUUCGGACCCCACGCUAUUAGAUGAGCCUAGGUCGGAUUAGCUAGUUGGUGGGGUAAAGGCCUACCAAGGCGACGAUCCGUAACUGGUCUGAGAGGAUGAUCAGUCACACUGGAACUGAGACACGGUCCAGACUCCUACGGGAGGCAGCAGUGGGGAAUAUUGGACAAUGGGCGAAAGCCUGAUCCAGCCAUGCCGCGUGUGUGAAGAAGGUCUUCGGAUUGUAAAGCACUUUAAGUUGGGAGGAAGGGCAGUAAGUUAAUACCUUGCUGUUUUGACGUUACCAACAGAAUAAGCACCGGCUAACUUCGUG